rnacentral:rRNA from 1 species
CCUACGGGUGGCAGCAGUGGGGAAUAUUGGGCAAUGGGCGCAAGCCUGACCCAGCAACGCCGCGUGAAGGAAGAAGGCUUUCGGGUUGUAAACUUCUUUUGUCAGGGACGAAGCAAGUGACGGUACCUGACGAAUAAGCCACGGCUAACUACGUGCCAGCCGCCGCGGUAAUACGUAGGUGGCAGGCGUUAUCCGGAUUUACUGGGUGUAAAGGGCGUGUAGGCGGGACUGCAAGGCAGAUGUGAAACCCACGGGCUCAACCUGUGGCCUGCAGUUGAAACUGUAGUUCUUGAGUACUGGAGAGGCAGACGGAAUGCGUGGUGUAGCGGUGAAAUGCAUAGAUAUUAGGAGGAACACCAGUGGCGAAGGCGGUCUGCUGGACAGCAACUGACGCUGAGGCGCGAAAGCGUGGGGAGCAAACAGGAUUAGAUACCCCAGUAGUC